AAUUGAACGCUGGCGGCAGGCCUAAACAACAUGCAAAGUCGAACGAACUCUUCGGAGUGAGUGGCGGACGGGUGAGUAACGCGUGAGAAUCUGGCUGUGGGUCGGGGACAACCACUGGAAACGGUGGCUAAUACCGGAUGAGCCGAAAAGGUAAAAGAUUUAUUGCCCACAGAUGAGCUCGCGUCUGAUUAGCUAGUUGGUAAAGGUAAAAGCGUACCAAGGCGACGAUCAGUAGCUGGUCUGAGAGGAUGAG
rnacentral:rRNA from 1 species